GAGCUUGAUAAGUAUCUUAAAGCCGAACGUGACGAAGGUCGUGAUCUUGACCUUUUGGUGUGGUGGAAAACUGCUGGCCAAAAGUUUAAAAUCCUCUCUUUGAUGGCUCGGGAUAUUUUGUCUAUUCCUGUGACAACCGUUGCUUCGGAGUCAACUUUCAGUACAUCCGGUUGUGUGCUUGAUGGCUUUCGAAGUUCCUUGACUCCUAAAGUGGUAGAAGCUUUGAUUUGCACUCAAGAUUGGUUGAGAGUGGCUACCAUGCAGAUUAAUGUUGAAGAGUGCAUCGAGAAUGCAGAAAGGUUUGAGUGGGAUAUGGACAAUGUUCACUUGGAGCUUACCGGUAAAUAGAGUUUGCAAGUUGAAGUGGAAGAAAUAUAUGUGGACUAUCAACAAGUUUAGUCGUGGUUUUUUGGGCUCUUGGCUUUGAUCAUAUUUUGCUUACUUAAUCAAAGAAUCUGUUCUUCCAAGGGUAUACAACCGUGAGUGAUUCAGUGAGAUUUGUGGAGUUUGGCAGUUUAAUGUUGAACGUCUUUCCCUUGCUCUUAUUGUAGAAUUUGAUUUCGUUUUUUACUCCUCAGAGAGUUUGUUCUAGAUUAGUUAUGACUAUGUUUUCUUUAUUGUUUGUAUUGGUGAUA